rnacentral:rRNA from 1 species
GCUCAGUAACACGUGGAUAACCUACCCUUAGGACUGGGAUAACCUUGGGAAACUGAGGAUAAUACUAGAUAGGCAAUUAUUUCUGGAAUGAUUUUUUGUUUAAAUGUUUUUUCGCCUAAGGAUGGGUCUGCGGCCGAUUAGGUAGUUGGUUAGGUAACGGCUUACCAAGCCAUUGAUCGGUACGGGUUGUGAGAGCAAGAGCCCGGAGAUGGAACCUGAGACAAGGUUCCAGGCCCUACGGGGUGCAGCAGGCGCGAAACCUCCGCAAUGUGAGAAAUCGCGACGGGGGGAUCCCAAGUGCCAUUCUUAACGGGAUGGCUUUUCAUUAGUGUAAAGAGCUUUUGGAAUAAGGGCUGGGCAAGACCGGUGCCAGCCGCCGCGGUAACACCGGCAGCUCUAGUGGUAGCAGUUUUUAUUGGGCCUAAAGCGUCCGUAGCCGGUUUAAUAAGUCUCUGGUGAAAUCCUGUAGCUUAACUGUGGGAAUUGCUGGAGAUACUAUUAGACUUGAGACCGGGAGAGGUUAGAGGUACUCCCAGGGUAGAGGUGAAAUUCUGUAAUCCUGGGAGGACCGCCUGUUGCGAAGGCGUCUAACUGGAACGGUUCUGACGGUGAGGGACGAAAGUUAGGGGCGCGAACCGGAUUAGAUACCCGGGUAGUCCUAACUGUAAACGAUGCGGACUUGGUGUUGGGGUGGCUUUGAGCUGCUCCAGUGCCGAAGGGAAGCUGUUAAGUCCGCCGCCUGGGAAGUACGGUCGCAAGACUGAAACUUAAAGGAAUUGGCGGGGGAGCAC